rnacentral:rRNA from 1 species
GAAAGGGCAACAGCCCAGAUCGUCAGCUAAGGUCCCUAAAUGUAAGUUAAGUGGUAAAGGAUGUGGGAUUGCACAGACAACCAGGAUGUUGGCUUAGAAGCAGCCACUCAUUCAAAGAGUGCGUAAUAGCUCACUGGUCGAGUGAUCCUGCGCCGAAGAUUUCCGGGGCUAAAACUUACUACCGAAGCUACGGCAUCAGUAAUGAUGGGUAGGGGAGCUUCCCAUACGGGUUGAAGCAUGACCGUAAGGACAUGUGGACAGUAUGGGAGUGAGAAUGUUGGCAUGAGUAGCGAGAUGUGGGUGAGAAUCCCACAGGCCGUAAACCCAAGGUUUCCAGGGGAAGGUUCGUCCGCCCUGGGUUAGUCGGGACCUAAGCUGAGGCCGAAAGGCGUAGGUGAUGGACAACAGGUUGAUAUUCCUGUACUACCGAUAACCGUUUGAGAGAAGGGAUGACACAGUAGGAUAAGCUAAGCACACUGUUGGUUAUGUGUGCCCAAGCAUUGAGGCAGUCAAAGUAGGCAAAUCCGCUUUGAUAAUGCUGGGAUGUGAUGGGGAGCGAAAUUUAGUAGCGAAGUAGCUGAUUUCACACUGUCAAGAAAAGUCUCUAUCGAGGUUAAAGGUACCCGUACCGCAAACCGACACAGGUGGGUGAGGAGAGUAUCCUAAGGCCAGCGAGAGAACUGUUGUUAAGGAACUCGGCAAAAUGACCCCGUAACUUAGGGAUAAGGGGUGCCACCAUCAGGUGGCCGCAGAGAAUAGGCCCAAGCGACUGUUUACCAAAAACAUAGGUUUCUGCUAAGUCGCAAGACGAUGUAUAGGAGCUGACGCCUGCCCGGUGCUGGAAGGUUAAGGGGAUCUGUUAGAGCAAUCGAAGCAGUGAACUUAAGCCCCAGUAAACGGCGGCCGUAACUAUAACGGUCCUAAGGUAGCGAAAUUCCUUGUCGGGUAAGUUCCGACCCGCACGAAAGGCGUAACGAUUUGGGCACUGUCUCAACAACAGACUCGGUGAAAUUGUAAUUCCGGUGAAGAUGCCGGAUACCUGCGACAGGACGGAAAGACCCCAUGGAGCUUUACUGUAGCUUGACAUUGGGUCUUGGUACUACAUGUACAGGAUAGGUGGGAGGCUUUGAAACCAGGACGCCAGUUUUGGCGGAGCCAUCCUUGGGAUACCACCCUUGUAGUACUGGGACUCUAACCAUAGGCCAUGAAUCUGGUCUUGGGACACUGUCAGGUGGGCAGUUUGACUGGGGCGGUCGCCUCCCAAAAGGUAACGGAGGCGCUCAAAGGUUCUCUCAGUACGGUCGGAAAUCGUACGUAGAGUGUAAAGGCAAAAGAGAGCUUGAUUGCAAGACAUACAGGUCGAGCAAGGAUGAAAAUCGGACUUAGUGAUCCGGUGGUUCUGCGUGGAAGGGCCAUCGCUCAACGGAUAAAAGCUACCCUGGGGAUAACAGGCUUAUCUCCCCCAAGAGUCCACAUCGACGGGGAGGUUUGGCACCUCGAUGUCGGCUCAUCACAUCCUGGGGCUGUAGUAGGUCCCAAGGGUUGGGCUGUUCGCCCAUUAAAGUGGUACGCGAGCUGGGUUCAGAACGUCGUGAGACAGUUCGGUCCCUAUCCGUCGCAGGCGUAGGAAAUUUGAGAAGACCUGUCCUUAGUACGAGAGGACCGGGAUGGACG